GGUCAAGUGAAGAAGCGCAUACGGUGGAUGCCUUGGCAGUCAGAGGCGAUGAAAGACGUGGUAGCCUGCGAAAAGCUUCGGGGAGUCGGCAAACAGACUUUGAUCCGGAGAUCUCUGAAUGGGGGAACCCACCUAGGAUAACCUAGGUAUCUUGUACUGAAUCCAUAGGUGCAAGAGGCGAACCAGGGGAACUGAAACAUCUAAGUACCCUGAGGAAAAGAAAUCAACCGAGAUUCCCUUAGUAGUGGCGAGCGAACGGGGAUUAGCCCUUAAGCUUCAUUGAUUUUAGCGGAACGCUCUGGAAAGUGCGGCCAUAGUGGGUGAUAGCCCCGUACGCGAAAGGAUCUUUGAAGUGAAAUCGAGUAGGACGGAGCACGAGAAACUUUGUCUGAACAUGGGGGGACCAUCCUCCAAGGCUAAAUACUACUGACUGACCGAUAGUGAACCAGUACCGUGAGGGAAAGGCGAAAAGAACCCCGGCGAGGGGAGUGAAAAAGAACCUGAAACCGUGUACGUACAAGCAGUGGGAGCACCUUCGUGGUGUGACUGCGUACCUUUUGUAUAAUGGGUCAGCGACUUAUAUUCUGUAGCAAGGUUAACCGUAUAGGGGAGCCGAAGGGAAACCGAGUCUUAACUGGGCGUUAAGUUGCAGGGUAUAGACCCGAAACCCGGUGAUCUAGCCAUGGGCAGGUUGAAGGUUGGGUAACACUAACUGGAGGACCGAACCGACUAAUGUUGAAAAAUUAGCGGAUGACUUGUGGCUGGGGGUGAAAGGCCAAUCAAACCGGGAGAUAGCUGGUUCUCCCCGAAAGCUAUUUAGGUAGCGCCUCGUGAACUCAUCUUCGGGGGUAGAGCACUGUUUCGGCUAGGGGGCCAUCCCGGCUUACCAACCCGAUGCAAACUACGAAUACCGAAGAAUGUUAUCACGGGAGACACACGGCGGGUGCUAACGUCCGUCGUGAAGAGGGAAACAACCCAGACCGCCAGCUAAGGUCCCAAAGUCAUGGUUAAGUGGGAAACGAUGUGGGAAGGCACAGACAGCCAGGAUGUUGGCUUAGAAGCAGCCAUCAUUUAAAGAAAGCGUAAUAGCUCACUGGUCGAGUCGGCCUGCGCGGAAGAUGUAACGGGGCUAAACCAUGCACCGAAGCUGCGGCAGCGACGCUUAUGCGUUGUUGGGUAGGGGAGCGUUCUGUAAGCCGUUGAAGGUGUGCUGUGAGGCAUGCUGGAGGUAUCAGAAGUGCGAAUGCUGACAUAAGUAACGAUAAUGCGGGUGAAAAGCCCGCACGCCGGAAGACCAAGGGUUCCUGUCCAACGUUAAUCGGGGCAGGGUGAGUCGACCCCUAAGGCGAGGCCGAAAGGCGUAGUCGAUGGGAAACAGGUUAAUAUUCCUGUACUUGGUGUUACUGCGAAGGGGGGACGGAGAAGGCUAGGCCAGCUUGGCGUUGGUUGUCCAAGUUUAAGGUGGUAGGCUGAAAUCUUAGGUAAAUCCGGGGUUUCAAGGCCGAGAGCUGAUGACGAGUCGUCUUUUAGAUGACGAAGUGGUUGAUGCCCUGCUUCCAGGAAAAGCCUCUAAGCAUCAGGUAACAUCAAAUCGUACCCCAAACCGACACAGGUGGUCAGGUAGAGAAUACCAAGGCGCUUGAGAGAACUCGGGUGAAGGAACUAGGCAAAAUGGUGCCGUAACUUCGGGAGAAGGUGCGCCGGCUAGGGUGAAGGAUUUACUCCGUAAGCUCUGGCUGGUCGAAGAUACCAGCUGGCUGCAACUGUUUAUUAAAAACACAGCACUGUGCAAACACGAAAGUGGACGUAUACGGUGUGACGCCUGCCCGGUGCCGGAAGGUUAAUUGAUGGGGUUAGCGGCAACGCGAAGCUCUUGAUCGAAGCCCCGGUAAACGGCGGCCGUAACUAUAACGGUCCUAAGGUAGCGAAAUUCCUUGUCGGGUAAGUUCCGACCUGCACGAAUGGCGUAAUGAUGGCCAGGCUGUCUCCACCCGAGACUCAGUGAAAUUGAACUCGCUGUGAAGAUGCAGUGUACCCGCGGCAAGACGGAAAGACCCCGUGAACCUUUACUAUAGCUUGACACUGAACACUGGUCCUUGAUGUGUAGGAUAGGUGGGAGGCUUUGAAGCGUGGACGCCAGUCUGCGUGGAGCCGACCUUGAAAUACCACCCUUUAAUGGCUGGUGUUCUAACGUAGACCCGUAAUCCGGGUUGCGGACAGUGUCUGGUGGGUAGUUUGACUGGGGCGGUCUCCUCCCAAAGAGUAACGGAGGAGCACGAAGGUUAGCUAAUCCUGGUCGGACAUCAGGAGGUUAGUGCAAUGGCAUAAGCUAGCUUGACUGCGAGAGUGACGGCUCGAGCAGGUGCGAAAGCAGGUCAUAGUGAUCCGGUGGUUCUGAAUGGAAGGGCCAUCGCUCAACGGAUAAAAGGUACUCCGGGGAUAACAGGCUGAUACCGCCCAAGAGUUCAUAUCGACGGCGGUGUUUGGCACCUCGAUGUCGGCUCAUCACAUCCUGGGGCUGAAGUAGGUCCCAAGGGUAUGGCUGUUCGCCAUUUAAAGUGGUACGCGAGCUGGGUUUAGAACGUCGUGAGACAGUUCGGUCCCUAUCUGCCGUGGGCGCUGGAGAAUUGAGGGGGGCUGCUCCUAGUACGAGAGGACCGGAGUGGACGAACCUCUGGUGUUCCGGUUGUCACGCCAGUGGCAUUGCCGGGUAGCUAUGUUCGGAAAAGAUAACCGCUGAAAGCAUCUAAGCGGGAAACUUGCCUCAAGAUGAGAUCUCACUGGGAACUUGAUUCCCUGAAGGGCCGUCGAAGACUACGACGUUGAUAGGCUGGGUGUGUAAGCGUUGUGAGGCGUUGAGCUAACCAGUACUAAUUGCCCGUGAGGCUUGACCAU
rnacentral:rRNA from 1 species